UUUUUUAAGGGCCACACCCACAGCAUAUGGAAGUUCCCAGGCUAGGGGUCUGAACUGGAGCUGUAGCUGCUGGCCUGUACCACAGCCACUGCAAUGCCAGAUCCUUAACCCACUGAGUGAACCUGCAUGCUCAAGGAUACUAGUCAGGAUCGUAACCCGCUGACCCACAACAGGAACUCCUAAUUUUAAAUGAAUUUAGAAUUCUAGAAAAGUUGUAGAGAGGUUCCUGUAUAUCCUUGAAUCAUAUUCUCCUAAUGGGAAUCAUAUCUCACAUAGCUAUAGCAUAAUUAUCAAAAUGAAGGAAUUAACAUCGGUAUAAUACUUACAACUAAACUGGGAAGUUUCUUUGGAUUUCACCAGAUUUUCCAGUAAUGUUCUUUUUCUGAUCCAGGAUCCAAUUCAGGAUCCCACACUGCAUGCCUGCCCCUUUGUCUCCUCCACACUGUGACAGUGCCUCAGUCUUUCCUUAUCUUUUGUGACCUUGACAUCUUUUACCUUAUAAUAUCAUUACAGUUGGACGCCUAUACUACCUUGCUCCGCUACCAGUUUCGUAAAAGAUCUGUCACUGAGACACGUUUUUAUUCCCAAUAGUAUCUAGCACAUGGCAGGAGCUCAAUAAUUAAUACUUAACUACAUGUCAGAAACAAUUAGAAAAGAUAGUAACAAAAAUCUACAUAAUUAAAUGCUGAGCUGUGUGCAAUAGCGACUUUAAGUUGUGACAAAAGUUAGAGAGAAAGAGCUUGAAAUUUAAAACAGAAAGCUCUUCUUUGCAGAUACUAUAUCUGAGUCCACCAUCUGAGCUCCCAGAGCAGGAAUCAUCCAAGCUUCCAGCCCAUGAGCCCAUCAUAGCACAUGGAUACCUGAUGACAGCAGGAAGGGCAAACACAGCCUCGGUUCUAGCAUCUAGCAUGACUACUGGUGGAUCUCGCUACCAAUAGACCUCAUCUGUCCUGUGGCUGGGGUGGGUCUUUGAUACUUAUACAGACAAUGAACUGAAAUAAUUACUCCCUCCCUCUCUUACACCUUAAUUUCUAAUUGCUUCCUGUUAAGAAACUCAGGAUGGAGAACUCUAGCCUUUUUGCCUGCAGCCCUUAGUGCUGGCCUGGUUCCCUUUCUGGUUCUCCCUACAAGGGACUGACCAGUGUGUCUGAUGCCUCAAACCAUGAACCCAGUACUCACCUACCCUCUGGUAUCCAGUUGCCUGAACUUCCCCAUUGCUAUGACUCGUCUGGCCCUACUGAGUCCUGCUCCUCUUCCCUGAAGCCAGAAGAACCCCCAGCUGACAGGUCCAUGCCUUUUGUACCCUGUCAUACCUGCUGGUUGUACCCCUCAACCAUGGAAGCUUCUUUCUCUUUCCCACCAGCACCUCCUUCUAAGUCCUGGCAUAUUGUAGAAUUGUGCCCAGGCCCCUUACGACUCAGCUGUCUUUAGUUAUUUCGCUUUGUUUCUAAUCUCAAAUUACUAUGACAUCUCACUGCUGCUGUAGAGGCUGACUCUGUGUUUUUCCCUCCUGCUGAAUGUGUUAGCAUUGGCCUAUUGAAGAUUCCACCCAUCUUCUGGGGCCACAGAAGCUUUGCUUUGUUUUGAAGGGGCUGUCAUUACUGACAUUUGAAAGAGGGUGCUCCUUAAUUUCAAUUCCGUGCUGCAUCAAAUUCAGAUCAUUCCCAAAGACUCAGAAAUACCAUUUGACAAGUUCGAGAGAAAUUGAACUGAUAUCUGUUGGAUUUUACUGAAGCCCUGCUGCAUAAUUUUUCAUUAUCUUUGGAAGGCCUUACCACAAAGAGAAAACAUGCCUAGUAGGGUCCCACAGAGGUGUUUUGACAUUAAGCUUAAUAAAGCAUGAAGAACUCAUUAAUAAAUAAUGUUCUGCUAGGUUAACAAAUAAAGCUGAAUGCACUGGCUGGACCCUGGAGUAAAUCAAAUCACGCAUGCAGCCGUGCAACUUGUUAACCUGCGGUGGUCUCUUCACAACGUCUGGCAGAGCCCAGGGCACCAAUACACAAAUGAACCCAGCACAUUACAAAUGCAGCCACUUUCAGUUGUUAUGACAAAAACUGUCAUUUUUCUUCAUACUCUAUGGGUCCCAAAAAGUAAACAAACCAUUGAUGCUGAUCAGGAGGCAUUCCAAUGAUACAUUUUAACUCUGCUAGAAGAAAGGUUCCACUCAUCAGCAAGUCUACACAAUGGUAGACACAGUUACACCUUCUUAUCUCGUGGCCUUUGUCUCACUAUCUACAGGUAGUUGACCAAAGAGAACGAGGGAACGAAUUAAUGUGUGCAGGCAAGCUAAUCUACCUAGUCAGAUGGUUAUUGAGGAACUUUUCAGUCUGACCCAGAAAACUUUCAGGGAUGUCCAGAAACCUUUCAGGGAUGUCCAGAAACAGAGAAAUGAAUCAUUCUCCCUUUUUAAAAGAAAUGGAACCGAAGCGCUGGAAGAAUCCUUUCCUGGAUUCAGAAGGUUGUAGAGUUUUGGCUGGAGAGAGAUUUCAUGGCUGCCCAAAGCAGGUCAAAGUUCUCUGAUCAGUGGAGGGUGGGUGGGCAGCUUCAGUACUUUGGGCAGCUGUAUUCCUCUUUUGGUUCUCUGGUGCUUAAGGCAGUUGCUGCUUCAAGGAAGCUCUUCUGAUGAUUAAAAGCUGAUGGACAGCUGUCAAGUGUCAGUUAAGCAUGACUCACUGCAGCUGCUCAGCAAUCUGGAGGGAGAGUCUCUAGCCCCACACUCUUCAAACGGCCCACACUCUCCAUUCCCUAUGGGUUUAGCUGGAAAGCCAAACACUGAGCAAUAAAAUGUAAACUUUUCCAGGCACCAUUUUGAUGGAACAACUUGUUGGGUGGGUUCAAUUUCAACUCGAAGGCCUUGCCAACCAUGCCCAUAUGUACAAAUUUACCCAUCUUGCCAGACCUUUUAUGUGGUUAUGAUGACAAAACCAUUAGGUUGCCAUUUACAUCCCUGUUCCAAAGCUGCUGCUUUAAAAGCAAUCAUUAUCCUGAGAAUGAAAGUAUUUCAUUAAACACUUUUACUUGAAUAUUUUCACAAUUUCUAUAAGCUUAUGUAUAUACUACACAUUCAUAUAGUUAUAUAAAGUUAUACAUUGGUAGUUUCUUCACUUUCAGGUUUAUAGAAACAAUGAAAAUGAAGGAAUAAUCAGGGCUCAAAGUGAUAUAUAACAAGAUUUCAUUUUUGAGAAAAUAAGAGAGGCCAUGUGAAAUAACAGCAAUGAGAAUAGUCUAUAACUAUUGAGCCUUACAAAGCACUUUAUGUGACACUUCUUCCUUAAUUCCAACAGCCCUGGGAUGUUGGCAAUAUUAUCUUCUGCAUUUUACAUAUGAGGAAACUGAGACACUGAGUUGAAAGUGUCCAAGAUCACAGAGAAAGGAAGCAGCAGAACUAGGGUUGUGAUUUUAGGUGAUAUGAUUUCAGAGUUCACCUGCUUAAUUUCUAUUCAAUAUCACCCCUGUACAUUAUCAGGAAAUUUCAUUAUGGAUGGUUCUACCACUCAACUAGAAAAAAAUGGGACCUCCUUUUUUUCCUCACAUUAAAGUGAGUUUAGGGUAGCCUAAAUAUUCAAGUCACCUUCCUGAAUGAUUCUAAGAAAUAUUUAAGUUACACACAUAUAGAUGGUCCCCAACUUAUGAUUUUUUUUGAUUUUAAAAUGGUGCAAAAGCAUUAUGCAUUCAGUAGAAACCAUAUUUCAGAUUUUGAUCUUUCCCAGGACUAGCAGUGAUGGGUAUGAUACUCUCGUGAUGCUAGGCAGUGGCAGUGAGCUUUGUGCAGCCACAAGAUCACCAGGAUAAACCGACACAGAAAUAACCAUCCUGUGCCCAACCAUCAUUCUUUCACUCUCAGUGUAGUGUCCACUAAAUUACAUGAGUUAUUCAACACUUUAUUAUAGACUUUGAUGAUCUGCUCAACUCUAGGCUAAUGUAUGUGUUUUGAGCACAAUGUAAGGCAGGCUAGUCUAAGCUAUGAUGUUGGUAGGUUAGGUAUAUUCAAUGAAUUUUCUUUUCUUUUCUUUUUUUGGCCCUGACCUCAGCAUAUGGAGCCAGGAAUUGAACCCAAGCCACAUGGUAACUGAAGCCACACCAGUGACAAUUAGAGUCCUUCACUGCUAGGCCACCAGGGAACUCCCCAUUUUCUACUUAAGAUAUGUUCAACUUAAAAUGGGUUUACAGGCUUGUAACCCCAUCAUAAGAUGAGGGAGAUGUACAUUUAAAUUAUAUUAUUUGCUUGAUAUCAUGAAGUUUCUCAAUGUCAAGUUGCAAAGUUGUGGCGCAGUGGUUGACGAAUCCGACUAGGAACCAUGAGGUUUCGGGUUCGGUCCCUGCCCUUGCUCAGUGGGUCGACGAUCCGGCGUUGCCAUGAGCUGUGGUGUAGGUUGCAGACGCAACCCCGUUGCUGUGCCUCUGGCGUAGACUGGUGGCUGCUGGUGGUUGCGGCUCCAAUUGGACCCCUAGCCUGGGAAUCUCCAUAUGCCGCGGAAGCGGCCCAAGAAAUAGCGAAAAGACAAAAAAAAAAAAAAAANAAAAAAAAAAA
rnacentral:lncRNA from 1 species